rnacentral:rRNA from 1 species
UACGAAGGGGGCUAGCGUUGUUCGGAAUUACUGGGCGUAAAGCGCGUGUAGGCGGGUCUUUAAGUCAGGGGUGAAAUGCCAAGGCUCAACCUUGGAACUGCCUUUGAUACUGGAGACCUUGAGUCCGGGAGAGGUGAGUGGAAUUGCGAGUGUAGAGGUGAAAUUCGUAGAUAUUCGCAAGAACACCAGUGGCGAAGGCGGCUCACUGGCCCGGAACUGACGCUGAGACGCGAAAAGCGUGGGGAGCAAACAGGGAUUAAGAA